CUGUUGCAGUCGAAUUGCUGAUGAAUGCAUGAUUAUGCAGGCAUGGCUGUCUUUUUUACAUGAGGACUGGCUUUGUCCAAUUGCAAAAAUGCAAUCAACACUGUAAAUGAGGACCACUUACACACUGGAUUGUCAACAAAAAGUGGGAUUACUACAUAGAGAAGAGAGCUGAAGCUGGUCCUGAAGAGGUCAACUUCUACAUCACACUUUGCUAAACUAUCCUGUCAGACCAAAAAGGUUAUGCUGAACAAACAGGGCCUCCUACAACCAAAUCUGCUGGAUAGAGGAUGAAACCAAGAGAUUUGAGUUAAAGAUGUUGUAGCUGCUGCUGCUGCUGCCAUUUCACUUUAUCCAACUGAGAAGACUGAAGAAGUUGAUGCAUGACCAAUGAUCUCUUCUGUGCUGGAUGCGAAAUUCUGCAGCCACUAGCUAGGACUUGGGCCUUUUCCUGAUUAUUCAGCCCUAGCUAUCUUUCCUUGUGAUGGAGCCAGGAAAUGCAACCAUUUUUUGAUUUCAGCCGAGGAUACAAAUCACUAAAAUUGAUGCACUCCUGUAAUUAAAAUACUGAGAGUAGAAACAUC